GAAAAAAGGUCAGUGUUUACAGCCGGGCGGCCCGGUACAACGACGGCCUCGGCAGAAGGAAAGCUAUAUGUCACAUUAUCAGUCAAACGCAAACGUCGGAUCCUGAAUGUGUGUGUUUACUUUGAGACUGCUUUAGCACAAGGCAGCCGAGGGAAUCUGUAAACAGCGCCUUGGUCCUACACAGGAUUCAUGACGUGUAGGAGCUGGAAAGUUUCAACAAACUUUAAAACUAUUCCUAGGAACAGGCUAGAAUGAGGCUCUCGUGGAAUGAUGACCUCGAGAAAGAAAACAAGUGUAACAACAUUGUUUCAGCUAGCUUCCCAGCAGUGUGCAGCAACCGAAGGUUUUAGAAACUUUUUAGAACACAGGCAUACACUGAUGCUUCUAAACUCCUGUUUCAUAUCAUCACUUCUGAUAUGAAACACCCGCCC